rnacentral:tRNA from 1 species
UCCCGUGUGGCUCAGUUGGUAGAGCAUGGUGUUUGCAAUGCCAGGGUUGUCGGUUCGAAUCCCACGGGGG